rnacentral:rRNA from 1 species
UACGUAGGAGGCAAGCGUUGUCCGGAAUUACUGGGCGUAAAGCGCGUGUAGGUGGUGGGACAAGUCUGCUGUGAAAGUGCCUGGCUUAACCGGGCGAGGUCGGCGGAAACUGUCCGACUCGAGGACGGUAGAGGGGGGUGGAAUUCCCGGUGUAGUGGUGAAAUGCGUAGAGAUCGGGAGGAACACCUGUGGCGAAGGCGGCCCCCUGGGCCGGCCCUGACACUGAGACGCGACAGCGUGGGGAGCAAACAGG